AUUGAAAUAGGACUCUCUCAGUCGGUGACUCAGCUGGAAGAUCAAGUCACUGUCACCGAAGGGGAUCCUCUGACUGUGAAAUGCACCUAUUCAUCUUCUGGGAACCCUUAUCUCUUUUGGUAUGUCCAAUAUCCCAACCAAGGCCUCGAGUUCCUUCUGAAAUACAUCACAGGGGACAAUCUGGUUAAAGGCAGCUAUGGUUUUGAGGCUGAAUUUAAUAAGAGCCAAAACUCUUUCCACCUGAAGAAACCAUCUGCCCUUGGGAGUGACUCUGCAGUGUACUUCUGUGCUGUGAGAGACACAGUGAUGGGGCUGCAGGGAAAGCCGUACACAAACCCAUGA